GCUAAGUGAAAUAAGCCACACCAAGAAGGGCAAAUACCAUAUGAUUUCACUCAUGUGUGGAACUUAAGGAACAAAGCAAACAAUAAAG